GUGCUCCUCUGUCUGCCGUGGGGACUCCAGCUGGAAACAAACCAUAUUCAUCCUCAGUAAUGCUGGGGCCAUUUCCAGGUAAAAAUCUGGAUAAAAAUGCUGCAUGUGGCAACUGACCUGGCAUUUUCACACAUCAACUUAAGGAGUUACACCUGGACCAAGUCUCCCCUGCGAAUGCAGGAAGAACCUGUCCCGUUGCUAUAUUAACAGCUGUCCCUUAGUAUAAUGUGCUCUGUUCCAGCCUUGAUGGAAAAAAAAUACUCCAGAAUUGCCUUUCUAGAGUGUGUUUCCCAAGCAGCCUUGCUCUGUUCAGCUCCAGCUCUUCUCCAGCUGACCUCUGAAUGUAGCUGUUGUAGUCCAACAACUUGUCAUAGCGCUUCUGGAUGAGCUUCUGGGGGCCUGGAAACAGGGCUUGCAGUGCUGAGAGAGGAGUCAAGACAAGCUUGUCCAGCUGAGCCAUCUGGAAAGUACAAACCAAACCUACUCAUUACCUUAUUCACACAGUCCAUCAGAUGCCAUAAGGGGCUGAGCCUGAUGGCAGCCCAUCAAGCAAUCUGUUAAUCACUCUUCACAAAGCUUUGCUGCCAGAGGCAGUUUCAAGCAGGGUCCAGCAUGACUUAGAAUCUCCUUCAUAACAGGAGAUGUUCAAUUUUUAGAUGUUAGUUUUUAAGUUUUCAGCCUCUGCAAAUGGCAGUGGUCCCUUGGAGCGUGCAGCCUCAGGUACUGCCCCUAGGGAGCUGCCACUGGGGGAAAACAGCAAGGAUUGGUCAAGUGGUCAAAUAAAACUGGGAUUUCCUUGGCUGGAAGGCCCACAUCAAUAUACACUCUAAAGCCAAUGAGGUCUUACUAAGUGGGAGACUUGAAUUCUCUCAAAGCUGUUUUUUUUUUUUCCUUUUCCCUCUCCUGGAAACAGCUGUAACUCAAUUCCUGUUUAAGCAAACACAAACAAUCACUUGAUUUGAUUAAAUUAGGUUAUGCUUGUUGGUUUUAUCUCUAGUAAUCAACAAAAUUAGACACCUGGUAAAAAAACCAGUCUUCCUCAGACUUUUCCAUUAGUCUCUAAUUGUCUCAUGGGAUUAAUAUUGCAUGAAAUAAAAUUUAUUUUUGUAAGUAAUUUGUUCAAAUACAGCACAGGCUGGUAGUGAGUGAAAUUCAUCAUCAGAUUAAAGCCCUUGGACAUUCUGUGUGAAUUAAGUUGUUGGGUUGGAUGUGAGAAUAAAAAAGCAGCUGCCUCUGCAUUCUCAAAAACAGCAGAGUUGAGGGCAGAUCCAUUUUAGCCCCAGAGCUGCUCUCCAAGGCCAAGAUGAUGUACACUGGCUAAAUAGCUCCUAUUUUAUUUCCACCUGAAAAACUGGGCUGUGUUUAGUGAACCAAUUUUUGAUGCAUUAAGAAAACAAUUCUUCCAAACUGCUGGACUUGAUUUCUUAAAAAGAGGCUACUGGGAAUUUCUGUCCUGAAAAUUUUCCAAAAAUCUAAUGAGAGAGAAUUAUUGACAAAUGCACCUCCACCUCUGAAUUUUUCCAGCUUGAGCAGAUGUUUGAAUAAGCAGCCUAUCACAUUUUGAAAAGACAUUUAAGUACCUUAUUAGAGCCAGGCAUUAGAGUUCGUUUAUUUCUGAAAGCAGAAGGCUAGUAGAAAAACUAUUACUAUUUUUAAAAUUGUUUUAUUAAUUACUAUGGGCUAUAUUUGGAUUUUUCAUGGUUUCCCUAUAUGAAGGAUUUGACAGUUCUAUGUUAAUAUCUGGACUUGAUGAUCUGAGAGGCUAUUUUCCAGUUAAUAAAUCUGAGAUUUUUACAGAUCUGUGAUUCCAGGAGCUAACAGUACAUAAGCACAAUAUCAAUCACAAAAGUCACUCAAACUGAAAGUGCUGGUAACAAAAAUAGCAAGGCAACAAUCUGCUGCUCUUUGCUGAAGUUCAGAUGACACAAAUACAGAAUUAUUCAGGUGAUACAAAUUUAACACAAAGAUUUUAUUAUAAACCCAGGAAUUUAGCUUGGCAGGUUUUCUUUCAUUCUUCUAAGGAAAAUACAAUUCAUUUAUAUUGUAUUUUAUCUUAGUUCCUACAUAAAUUCAACCAAAAUCCCCACUUAUCUUUUCCAACAGAUUCCUGAGCUGUUUUUUUUUCCUCUUUUCUGUCCUAGUCUUCCUCACAUGCAGCUGUUUUCUCAGACAUACAGACAGCUGUGUAACAGUGGACAUUGCAUUUACUUACAAAGUCUUCACACAGAUUUGCAGUGUUGGUCUGUUUUUCCGAACAGUCAUUGACUUUGUCAUCUUUAUCUUGCAGGAUUUCCUGAAGCUCAAUUAUAUUCUGGGCAGCCAGAUGUAUAGAAUCCUAAAUGAAAACAUGGUAGGAAGAUGAAACUAUUACAAUCUGUUUUAAUAUGCUGCAUUCACUCAUGCAGCUUCUCAACAAUACUUCUGGAAUCAGAAAUAUUUUCCAUCUCCAACACCUGUGCAGUUGCUGUGCGGUUUCCAGUCAUUGUGAGGUUGUUUACUGUGAUAAUAUUUUCCUUUGCUUUGUCUAUUUUCAGUGUAAACUAUUUAAGAAUCAAGCUGUUAAUGUUCAACUAAAAGAAUUAUGCCCUAAACUAAUGAAUAUCCCACUGGAAUUCAGCUACUCCUCAGCAAGAAGCCAGCUUACCACGCAUCCUCAAAAAUCUCUUUUGGGGGACGAAGUAGGACUAAGUGGUGUAUUUCAGUUACCCAGAAUUUAAAUCUCAAUGAAGUGUGGAUCCAUUUGGAUAAGGAGCUGUCAGCACCACUGCAAGCAGCAGCCCUCCUUGGCUGAGCUCCCUGGCCUUUCCCUGUUUGCAGAACCAAGCACCAUAAGCCCUGGCCAGCUGGCUAUUGAUCUUGCCUAUCUCCCAAACAGCCUCCCUGCCUGCCUAGGGCACUCUUACCCUUGGACAGGCCUCAUGCCAUCCACAAAGCUGGCAAGUGGUCCAGGGGAGGGGCAGGCUGAUAAAUCACAGCCCUCAGCUCUGGAGAGGAGGGUUGAAGCACAGACAUUUUAGAGAACUCGAGCACUCUGCACAUCUAAUGCUAACCCUCGUGGGAAAAGGGAAGGAGUCCUACCAUCCACAAUAUGGAUUUUAGGAUGUUUUAAUUCAUGUGGCUGCAGCUCUGUUCUUCAAUCUUUAAUGAGAAAAUUGGUUCAAUCUCAGUUUGUCCUUCACUGCAGCAGAUGGGGGUGACAGCUUCACACAGAGAUUGAAAGUCCUGACUGUGCCACCAGACAGAACCUUCUUCUCUGCACCUGUGGGUCUCCAUAGAACCUGCCUCUGUCAGGGGGAAAAUGCAAAACUGGGGGCUUCAAAACUUAUUUGCCAUCGGCUCAGUAAUGCAGCGGCAGCAAAGCUUAUUUUUUUAAUAUUCUGAUGUAGACAGCCCUGCUAAUAAAUAAUUUGGUGUUGCUCA